GGGAGGGGGAGCUCUGGAAAAGCAGGAGAAGGAGACAGAGGAGGAGAAACUGCAGACCUCAGACCAGCCCACCUCACCUCUGCGUCCUUUCUCUCCGUCUCCUGUGCCCGUAGUCAAAUCUGACCGCGGAUCAGCUCACUUACGGAGCCGUUACACACACACACACACACACACACAGCAAACUGGGACUCAGACCAGAGGAAACCGUGUUCGUCUGCAGCCAAGUACGCACGCCAAGCCGAGCCGAGCCGAGCCGAGCCAAGGAGACACAUCCAGAGCGGAGCGGCGGCAGCAGACGACCAACGGCGAGGGGAGCGGACGGACGGCUGCGAUAAGACGGAGCUGAGAAGGAGAAGUCUUUGAGGAGCAGACACACGGAGACAGACAGAGACAGAGACAGAGACAGCGGGGACCGGCAGCUGAAGUAGCACGCGCAGUUUUAAUUUGAACGUUUUCGGUUAUUUGGCGGUUGGUGAGUUCGUGCGCGAGCUAGCGGAAUGUAAUGCUAGCGAGCUAGCUGCUGUUAGCUCGCUAAUUAGCUCGUUUCAGGGAAUCGGACGUGUGAGCUUUUUUUUUAUUUUUAUUUUUUUAUAUAUAUAAAUGGAAAAUAGGUCACAGUAGAUUUUGACUUUAUAUCAGCGGUUUAUAAUAAUAAUAUUAAUAAUAAUAAUUCGUCGCUGCUGGUCAUAAUGUUCGAAUAGCUAACAGACAAGUUAGACAAUAAACAGCUCGGAGGAAAUCUGAGUUUAAUCAUCCGCUUUGUGUCAACACCGAGACUUUUUUUAUUAUUUCUCACUGGAGACUGUCUGCCGUCCGAUGUUAAUGUCGACCGACGUUGCAUCUAUAAUGCUGCCCGUUACUCGGGGAAUAAUGGACCGGGAGAGAGACAUUGAUACAGCAGCAGCGGCGGCGGCAGCCGGACCGGGGGGUUCAACAGCAGCAGCGGCGGCGGCGGCAGCAGCAGCAGCAGCUGCCCGCGGGAUGAAGCGAGGAGACCCGGAGCCCGACGCUCAGACAGCGGCUGCACUCACUGACUUAGCCGGGGCGGAGUGCAAAAGACCGAGGAUAGACGGAACCGGGAGUGUUGUUGUCGUCGGUGACAUCGGACAGAACAAUGAGCCUUUAAACCCUGGUUUCCAUGGAUACCCACCUCACAGUCAGGGCUCUCAGGAUUCGACAGGAGGACAGGAGGGAUUGGUGGCCCCACCCUUCUCAGCGUUCCCUCCUCCGCCCCCUCCUCAGAACGGGCUGCCAGGCACAGAGUUCGGCCCCGGGGCCAUGUUUGGUGCCGGGGGCCAGGGCACAGCAGAUGUAGGGGCUGGCGCUAACGGAGCCGCCGCCGCUACCACCAACAACAACGGCAACGUGAAGUCAGAGGAGACGCCCCAGGGCGAGGCAGGAGUACAGUGCGGUACAGGAGGCACGGGCGGAGGAGGCUCUGUCGGAGACCCCACAGAGGCCAAAGGGACCCCCAAACGCCUCCACGUCUCAAACAUCCCCUUCCGCUUCCGGGACCCUGACCUCAGGCAGAUGUUUGGGCAAUUUGGCAAGAUUCUGGAUGUAGAGAUUAUUUUCAAUGAGAGGGGUUCAAAGGGUUUUGGCUUUGUGACAUUCGAGACGAGCGCAGACGCAGAGAAAGCGAGGGAAAAGCUCCACGGCACAUUGGUGGAAGGUCGUAAGAUUGAGGUGAAUAACGCCACAGCCAGGGUGAUGACUAACAAGAAAAUGGUCAGCCCCUACCCUAACGGAGAGGCUCUCAGCACGCUGCCUUAUGCCGGGUGGAAAUUGAGUCCCAUGGUGGGGGCCGUGUACGGACCAGAGCUCUACGCAGUCCCAGGGUUUCCUUACCCCUCUGCAGCAGCAGCAGCCACCACAGCGGCGGCGGCGGCAUUUCGAGGCGCCCACCUCAGAGGCCGAGGCCGGCCCGUGUACAGCGCGGUGAGGGCCGCUGUGCCUCAGCCCGCCAUCCCCGCCUACCCUGGGGAGGCUAUCCUGCUGCUGCCGCCGCUGCCGCUGCCUAUCGCUACGCUCAGCCCGCGGCCGUAACCGGAGCAACCGCCGCGGCUGCCGCCUACAGUGACAGUUAUGGCCGAGUGUACACUACAGAUCCCUACCACGCUUUAACUCCAGCUGCUGCUGCUUACGGUGUGGGAGCCAUGGCCAGUUUAUACCGGGCGGGGUACAGUAGGUUUGCUCCUUACUAAAAAAACACAAAACAAAAAAAACGACAAAAAAAACACAAACCACAAAUCACACCCAAGGAAUUUCACAUCGCUCCAAAAACCUUUUUUCCGAGCUCUUUGUUUGGCAGCAGCUCCCCCUCCAUUUGUUUCUGCAGGGCGGACUCUAGUGACAGCUCAUGUGUUUUUUCUUUUCUUUCAUUGUGGGUUUUUUUUUUUUCUCUCCUCGUGGCGAGGGAAGGUCACUCUGCCACAUCAUCAACUCGAACUCUGUUUCUGUACUCUUCUCGUCUGUCGCCGACAUGGAAACAAUGACAAAACUGCCGCGAGUGUCUCCCCACCCACCCCUCAACAUAAAGAGCUGGAGCUGGAGCGUACUACUUUGAACUACGGGGGCACAACUGUGGACGGUUUUUAGAAAAAGAAAAAAAACACUACAGGACCUGGAAGUGAGAGUGAGAAAGAGAGAGAGAGAGAGAGAGUGCUGUUUCCUGUGUGAUCCUGCACACUACAAACCUUUUUGUUUUUGUUGAACUUACAGUAUAUCCACUGCCCUAUAAAGACAGACUUAUAUACACACACUUACACCAAGUAUAAGGUUUUUCCUCUUUAUGUUUUCCUUUUGCACAGAAUGAUGCCACAAAAAACAAAAAAGAAACAAAAGGUACUUUAUGUUUUUGAAACACUACAUAACGGCAGAGUCGUCCCUCUGCUCGCUGUAAUAAUGAAAACGUGAAUCAGACGAUAAGACGUAGGAAUUCUUCUUGUUUUCGUGAAGCCGGACGGGCACAUGGGAGCAUCUGACUGACAGAAAACCACUGUUGUCCUGGUAACAACACACUAUAAACAACACAAGCAUGGGAAGACGUCUCGUUUUUUUGUUUUUUUUGUCAUUUUACAACUUUCCCCUGAGUGUAAAAGGAAAUGUUUUUUUAAAAGAAAUACCAAGUGACUUUGUUUUUUUCUGCAUUACCUCAGUUUGUCUUUAUUUUGUUUUGCUGCCAUCGAUAAGAAGCUGCAUAGAAAUGUCAUUAUACACACACACGACACGGACGUGUUGGAUCUGUCCAUGUUUUCAGCGACGGAGCCGUUCACGCGUCCUUUUACUGCUGGUCUGCACAUAUUCCUUACUUCAUUACUGUAACCGCAACACUAAGAUGAGAGGGAAGCGUUCAGCUCCGGACUCGCAUGUCCAUUUAGAGAACUGAGCGCGACCCUCCGAGGCUCAUCCCCCUCGAAUCUGCUCACAGCGCUUCUUUCCAAUUCCAAAAAAGGACUCGCUUCAUUUCUUUUCUGUCUCCCUAAAAAACCCGUCAGACAUUCCAGCUGUGGCGGCCAUGCAGCGAAGGACGAAAAAGCAAACCCAUCCGACACACAGACGAACUUUAAGAUUUAGUGGGAAAAAGAAAAAGCGGGAACGCCCACACGGGGAACUAAUCAUCUGCCAGGCAGCGAAAUGGGAAUCCCUCCUGGCCUUAUUGAGAUAUUACGGCGCCUGCAGGCUUCAGGCAGGGCUGCUCUGUGCUCGAGACGUGUGUGUGUCUGAUCUCAGCUCAGCAGAACCCAACAGAACAAGCCCAGAUUAAAACACACACACAGUGCAGUCAUGAAAUGGAGGACUUUGAAGUAACCAGAAUUGAUCCGUCUUCUAUUUAUAUUCAUCGUUUUUAAAAAUGUGGCAGGACACGUCACACGCGUUAUGUCAUUUUUAAAUCUUUCAUCAUGCUCUCUGGGAUUGUUGGAAUAGUUUUGAAGUUGUCCUCACCAGUCUGUCUGAAGGCAUCACAAAAAUAAAAUGAAUCAAAUCGACUGGCAGCCAGACCAUUUCUAGACCAAGUCUUUGUCCUGUAUGUAUCACAUCUCCAUAUACUCUCACUACGUUGUUAUUCAUAUUGUUUGCCUUUUUUUGGUUCCAAAGAUUUUCUGAAGAAAGCACAUUUUUGAUGUAUUUCUUUAUUUGUUUGCGUUGCCUUUACUUUGUUUUAUAUGUGUUUUGUUUUUGUUUUGAAGCUGUGUUUUUCAGUACAACAAGCAGCACCCUGGGAAAUGUCAUCGAACCACACGUUUACAGCGUUUAAAAGGUCGCAGCAAACAAGAAUUAAAUUCAAUCCACACACACACACACACACACUACUAAUUUAUUGGUCUUUAUUUUUUAAUAGUCACUACACGAACAUGCAGAGGUGUUUGCUGCAGACAAGGGGAAUCCGAGCAGAUGGGAGUCAUGAGGGACACGCAGAAAAAGACACAGAGGAUGUUUUUGAAUUUUGCAGUUUUGCCGUUGGAGAAAAUUACAUGAGAAGUAAAUGGAGGGAAACGUCCACACAAUGUCAAAAGGGCCCUGUAGCCCAGCAGAGGCCACCUUUUUUUUUCCCCCUUCUCUUCUCUUUCUGUUGUUGAACAGUGAAACAAUGUGUGGGUGGUUAGUCCGGGGAUAUUGUGGCGGGUGAUGGUGAAGGUGAGAAGCUGAGCCAUUAAUCAUUAGCUGACAGGAUAACAACGUCCCCUGCUGUCUUUCUUUCUUUUUUUUUAAUACGGUGCGCUCAGGGUGGAGCGGACAGUGCGAGGAGGAGCUGUUUAGGGGAGGGGUGGGGUAAUGUUUUGUAUGAUUGUGAAUCACGUGUGCAGUAGGUCCAAUGAGUAUUUCUUUGACGCGCAUUACCUCUUUUUGUUUUGUUUUUUUGUCUUAUUAUUCCUUACAAGUAUUAUCAGAAGUGUUGCUAUGCAUGCUUUCGUGCAGGAGGAGGAGAGGGUGUCGGUCCGAGAAUCUUUUUCAUUUGUGCAUGAAUUCAAAAUCAUAGUGCUGGAGGAGGAGGAGGAGGAGGAGGAGGCUGAUGGCGGGGGGGGGGGGUUUACAUAGCAGCAGGAGAAGGAGAGAUCUGAUAUGAGGAGACAGGAGGAGCAGAGAGAGAAAAGCAAGUGGCCCCUCAGUUGAUUCGGGUCUUGCUUCAGUAAUCUGGUUUAUCUCUGCUCUGUGCCUCUGUGGUCGUCAUGGUAAUCAGCAGUCAUAUCAGAUGUGUAAAGUUUAAUUUGGUAUGUCUGGACCCCUGUGGUUUGCUUUGAUAAUGAUAUAUAUAUUAAAAACAACAACAACAACCCAGUGAUAAUUCAGCCUCAAGUUUAGUGAGUUCUUCUCUGCUUCAAGGCUGGUGCAGAGUAUUAUUAUGAAGCUGCCCACAUGAGAUGCUCAUUUAAGCAACAUCUCCACCUCACCAGCCUCUCUCUCUCUCUCUCUCUCUUGCAGUUGGCAGAGCGAGGUGUUGUAAUAAUAAUCGUUACCGGGCAGAGAUUGUGGCUGCAGCUGCAGCAGGUUUUUUUUUUUUUUUUUUUUGGUGUGUGUGUGUCUCUUCUAAUUGGAAUAAAUCUCAUUUCUGCAGUAUCGCCUCAGAAAGCAAAAAAAAAAACGAGUUCUCCUCAGCCCGCUGAUGAUCCCCGACUCCCUGCACUGUGCUCAGUCCAACCCAGUGGGAGUUUUGUUUUUUUGUACAGGGAUUUAAAUAAAUGAGUUUGAAUUGCAUGUUUUUUUUUAUGUCACAUGCUCUUAAAAGCUCAUUUAUCCAAGUGAUUUUUGUUUUUUUCAAUAAGUGACAUGUAUUUUCUCACAUUGUUUUAUUUUUGCCAUCCUUGUGUCUGCCUUCUGUUUAUUCUCUUCAUUAUUAUUGAAUGUAUAUAAUAAAUAAACUGUUUGGUUUUUAA